rnacentral:ncRNA from 1 species
AGAUAGAGGCGCGGCAUUGAUCAGUACCGCUCGUUUCCCCGGCAGGUCUCCGGGAGCGGGAAAGGAAACGCCGCCGAAGGGUCCCUCCGGUGCCUGCCGGGGCGAUGCCUGGGCCGUCAGAAAAUAUCUGACGGACUGCCAUUGGGUCAAAUCAGUGGAGCGCUAUCCU